rnacentral:rRNA from 1 species
UACGUAGGGGGCUAGCGUUGUCCGGAAUCAUUGGGCGUAAAGAGCGUGUAGGCGGCCCGGUAAGUCCGCUGUGAAAGUCGGGGGCUCAACCCUCGAAUGCCGGUGGAUACUGUCGGGCUAGAGUGCGGAAGAGGCGAGUGGAAUUCCUGGUGUAGCGGUGAAAUGCGCAGAUAUCAGGAGGAGCACCAGCGGCGAAGGCGGGUAGCUGGGCCAACACUGACGCUGAUGCGCGAAAGCCAGGGGAGCAAACGGG